rfam:Protochlamydia naegleriophila strain KNic genome assembly, chromosome: cPNK
GCACCGAUAGCUCAAUGGAUAGAGUACCCGGCUUCGAACCGGGUGGUUAGAGGUUCGAGCCCUCUUCGGUGCA